GUUCAGUGCAGUUUGACGGGCAAGAUGAUGUGCAGUCUUGCAGAUCAAGUAUGUCUGAUGAAGGUGUAUCUGCGGACGUGACCGGCAGUCACAAAGGU